AGUGAACGCUGGCGGUAGGCCUAACACAUGCAAGUCGAACGGCAGCACAGUAAGAGCUUGCUCUUACGGGUGGCGAGUGGCGGACGGGUGAGGAAUACAUCGGAAUCUACUUUUUCGUGGGGGAUAACGUAGGGAAACUUACGCUAAUACCGCAUACGACCUACGGGUGAAAGCAGGGAAUCUUCGGACCUUGCGCGAUUGAAUGAGCCGAUGUCGGAUUAGCUAGUUGGCGGGGUAAAGGCCCACCAAGGCGACGAUCCGUAGCUGGUCUGAGAGGAUGAUCAGCCACACUGGAACUGAGACACGGUCCAGACUCCUACGGGAGGCAGCAGUGGGGAAUAUUGGACAAUGGGCGCAAGCCUGAUCCAGCCAUACCGCGUGGGUGAAGAAGGCCUUCGGGUUGUAAAGCCCUUUUGCUGGGAAAGAAAAGCAGCAGGUUAAUACCCCGCUGUUCUGACGGUACCCAAAGAAUAAGCACCGGCUAACUUCGUG
rnacentral:rRNA from 1 species